rnacentral:rRNA from 1 species
GAUGAACGCUAGCUACAGGCUUAACACAUGCAAGUCGCGGGGCAGCAUGGGGGUUGCUUGCAAUCCCCGAUGGCGACCGGCGCACGGGUGAGUAACGCGUAUCCAACCUGCCCUUCACCACGGGAUAACCCGGCGAAAGUCGGACUAAUACCGUAUGUUGUCCAUUGACGGCAUCCGAUUUGGACGAAAGGCUUGGCGGUGAGGGAUGGGGAUGCGUCCGAUUAGCCAGACGGCGGGGUAACGGCACACCGUGGCGACGAUCGGUAGGGGUGCUGGGGGGGAAGGUCCCCCCACCGGAACUGAGACACGGUCCAGACUCCUACGGGAGGCAGCAGUGAGGAAUAUUGGUCAAUGGGCGUAAGCCUGAACCAGCCAAGUAGCGUGCAGGAUGACGGCCCUAUGGGUUGUAAACUGCUUUUAUGCGGGGAUAAAGUGGCCCACGUGUGGGCUUUUGCAGGUACCGCAUGAAUAAGGACCGGCUAAUUCCGUG